rnacentral:ncRNA from 2 species
AAUUUUUAGUCGGGGUGCUGUCCUUUUGAUGGCUGAGAUAAUACCCGUGAACCUGAUUCAGUUAAUACUGUCGUAGGAAACUAAACCAUGCCCACC